AAGCAAUCCACCAUCCGUUCCGUACAGUCAAACGUGGUAAUCGUGAGAAAUCUUUUGGCUGUCGGUAGGUGGCAAAAAUGGAUUGUCCCCCAUCCACCAGGUGACGCGAGUGUCUUCGUGGGACGAAAUAUUUGCCAUUUGUUUCCGAGACUCUGACUGAAAGUGUAUUCCAAAUUCAUACGGAAUUGCGGUGUCGAUCUACAUUUUCAGAUGAAAUCUGAAAUGUAAUUGGCAAUCUGGCAUAUAAUUUCACUUGGCCAAAUAAUGUGACGACGUGGGUCGAAAGUCGAAACUGCUGUCCAUUUUGCCGAAAUGUCGGCAGUUGUUAAAGCCGGUACGUCUCAUCUCGUGCAGAAACACUUCAGAGCUAUUGAUGUUCAGGUCAGAGAUCCCUUUGCUCAACUGUUGUGGAUAUUGAAAAAAUGACAAAAGUCUGAGCUUUAUGACUGUUGUAGCAUCAACGUGGUUUUGUUGCAGCCAGCUGGUGGGAAAGGUGUGAUCGAGUCAAGUUCAGCUGCAGCUGCUGCAUGCAGUUUAUCGAGCUGUUGUUAUCCCUAUUUUUACAACAGGAAUGAAUUGGAGUUCAUGGUCAGUUUCAUGUUUGAGCUGUUUAUGGUGUUGCUGUUUGGUGUACAGUGGUUUUGAAGUCCCUAUCCAGUUGAGAGAUGCUCUGAAGCAGACUUGCAGUUCAACAUCACACUUAAAUGUGUCAUUUGCCUAUGUUGGUGUCCAUGCAGUAUAUGCCGUGUUGAAAAGUUGGGUAAAAUAGUCAAUGUUGCCUGAUGGCUGUCGGUCUUGUUUUAUCGGCUGCAUUUUUCGAUAUGUCGUCUCUUGGUACCGGCAUUGAAUUUCAUCGUUUGCUACUUUGCUGCCGUUCCAUAGACUUGAUCAUUGUUAAAACUGAGGAGAGGUUGCUGAAAUUCAAGACUCGUCAAUAUAAAUUAUGUAGAUGUAGAAAAAUUACAAGUGCAUAUCUGGGCUCCCUUCUUCAGUGGCCCCGUUUCCCUAAAUAACCACUAACCAACGC